rnacentral:rRNA from 1 species
GGUGACCUCCUGGGAAGUCCUCGUGUUGCACCCUUA